rnacentral:rRNA from 1 species
UACAGAGGGCUCAAGCGUUGUUCGGAUUCAUUGGGCGUAAAGGGUGCGUAGGUGGCGAGGCAAGUCGGAUGUGAAAUCCCGGGGCUUAACCCCGGAACUGCAUUCGAUACUGCCUUGCUCGAGUACUGGAGAGGAGACUGGAAUUUACGGUGUAGCAGUGAAAUGCGUAGAUAUCGUAAGGAAGACCAGUGGCGAAGGCGAGUCUCUGGACAGUUACUGACACUGAGGCACGAAGGCCAGGGGAGCAAACGGG